rnacentral:rRNA from 1 species
UACGGGGGGAGCAAGCGUUGUUCGGAUUUACUGGGCGUAAAGGGCGGGUAGGCGGCCACUGCAAGUCGGUUGUGAAAUCUCCGGGCUUAACUCGGAAAGGUCAAUCGAUACUGCAGGGCUAGAGUGCAGAAGGGGCAACUGGAAUUCUCGGUGUAGCGGUGAAAUGCGUAGAUAUCGAGAGGAACACCUGCGGCGAAGGCGGGUUGCUGGGCUGACACUGACGCUGAUGUGCGAAAGCUAGGGGAGCGAACGGG